rnacentral:rRNA from 1 species
UAGGGAAUCUUCCACAAUGGACGCAAGUCUGAUGGAGCAACGCCGCGUGAGUGAAGAAGGUUUUCGGAUCGUAAAGCUCUGUUGUUGGUGAAGAAGGAUAGAGGCAGUAACUGGCCUUUAUUUGACGGUAAUCAACCAGAAAGUCACGGCUAACUACGUGCCAGCAGCCGCGGUAAUACGUAGGUGGCAAGCGUUGUCCGGAUUUAUUGGGCGUAAAGCGAGCGCAGGCGGAAGAAUAAGUCUGAUGUGAAAGCCCUCGGCUUAACCGAGGAAUUGCAUCGGAAACUGUUUUCUUGAGUGCAGAAGAGGAGAGUAGAACUCCAUGUGUAGCGGUGGAAUGCGUAGAUAUAUGGAAGAAUACCAGUGGCGAAGGCGGCUCUCUGGUCUGCAACUGACGCUGAGGCUCGAAAGCAUGGGUAGCGAACAGGAUUAGAUACCCUUGGUAGUCCAUGCCGUAAAA